UAAAGCGUUUUGUCCAGACGCGCAUCAAGGAAAAAAAGGCGCACGUUCGUCGAAAGACGCGCUUCCUAUCUCAAAUGCGCUCUCGGGUUGAAGGGAAUUAUGUUCUAUAAAUCUGAGCUCGGUUGUGAAGCGCUAUUAGUCAGAUCAGAUGUCAAUCAGCAGUGGGCUGUGGAAUUUGACACCUCUGCGUCAUCAGCGGGGAAGGGUGGGGGCAGUGAGUGACCCCUUCCAUGUCCGCCGGGGAUGACUGCGGUGGACCCUGGGAUAUGUAGUUUUCGGCUUAUUAUAUACAACGCUCGCAAGCGGAAAAGCUUUCGCAUAUGCUUCUAGGAAAAUACCAAUUUAUAAUAAUCAUAUUACAAGUUAUGGAUGAUCACCGGCGCCGUGGAGAGGAGUGGACGCGCGUCUGGUGAGGCUAUAAGCGUGUUAGGCCAUAUAGCAGCUCCGGUUAGCGGAUAGCCCGCAGCUCGCGACCAAACAGACAGAGAGGGUGCUGAAGAUGCUGAAGUGAGACAGGAUUGCUGAGGUCAGAUGCUCUGAAUCAGUAUACCAAUACAGAAUGCACAUGAAUGAAAUGAUAUAAAGCUGGAGAAUGUGGAUUCUAUUUUAGAUUGUGAUAGACCAGAUAUAUUUUAUAAUGUAAUGCAGUUUGCUAGAGCACACAGGGCCUGAGUUAUCUACUUUCAAAGACAAGUGUUUAGAACACACAAAAAAAGUGCCUUGUAUUGAGGUGGUUCAUCAUGUGAAAAACAACACAAAUAAUAAUAUUUGUCACAAACAGCAGCUUUUUAUGUCACUUCAAAGGGUUUUCUGUAAAAGGAUAUAUAGAUAUUGCAUUUAUUCUACUAUAUGUGGGUAUUUGGAGUCUUCAAAUGUGGGUAGGCGGAAAAUGUAUACAAAAAGGGUAUUAUUCCUCCCUUUAGAUGGAAUAGAUUAACUUUUGCAUAGAUUAUGAUAGAAACAAAUUUCCUUUUUCCUCUAUUAGCUGACAUGUGCUGGAAACAAAUACAAUUGUUUGCAGGAUGCUGGACCUCUCAGAACCUGAGCUAUACAAUU